ACAUCCCGAUGACCGGUAUAUAAUAGUACCUUUUCUUCGGAACAUCGGUGACAGGUGGUGCAUGGUUGUCGUCAGCUCGUGUCGUGAGAUGUUGGGUUAAGUCCCGCAACGAGCGCAACCCUUAUUUUUAGUAGCCAGCAGUUCGGCUGGGCACUCUAGAGAGACUGCCAGGGAUAACCUGGAGGAAGGUGGGGAUGACGUCAAAUCAUCAUGCCCCUUAUGACUUGGGCUACACACGUGCUACAAUGGCGUAAACAAAGGGAAGCAAACCUGUGAGGGCAAGCAAAUCCCAAAAAUAACGUCUCAGUUCGGAUUGUAGUCUGCAGCUCGACUACAUGAAGCUGGAAUCGCUAGUAAUCGCGAAUCAGAAUGUCGCGGUGAAUACGUUCCCGGGUCUUGUACACACCGCCCGUCACACCAUGGGAGUUGGUAAUGCCCGAAGUCAGUGACCCAACCGUAAGGAGGGAGCUGCCGAAGGCA
rnacentral:rRNA from 1 species